rnacentral:rRNA from 1 species
CGGGGAAUAUUGCGCAAUGGGGGAAACCCUGACGCAGCGACGCCGCGUGAGCGAAGAAGGCCUUAGGGUUGUAAAGCUCUGUUUUAGGGGACGAAUGUUAUGGGGAGAAAUAUGCCCUGUAAAUGACGGUACCCUAAGAGGAAGCCCCGGCUAACUACGUGCCAGCAGCCGCGGUAAGACGUAGGGGGCGAGCGUUGUCCGGAAUUACUGGGCGUAAAGAGCACGUAGGCGGGAACUUAAGUCAGGUGUGAAAGACCGAGGCUCAACCUCGGGUAUGCACUUGAAACUGGGUUUCUUGAGGGCAGGAGAGGAAAGCAGAAUUCCUGGUGUAGCGGUGAAAUGCGUAGAAAUCAGGGGAAAUACCAGUGGCGAAGGCGGCUUUCUGGACUGACCCUGACGCUGAGGUGCGAAAGCGUGGGUAGCAAACAG